AUACACACUUCUUCUCCGUUGAUCAAUUAGUCUAUAGUUACCCAGCAAUCAUCACCAUCUACUGAGAGCCAUGUCUGUGCCCAGGGCAGUGCUAAUGCUGUUCUCACAACACUUUUGGUCUUGGCUGAGAAGUAGAAAACACACAGAGAGAACUUGGGUCCUUUGCUUGUGUGCAGUUGGCCCUGGCCCUGGCUGCAUCAAUGUCCUUCUUGCUUUCCCUGAUCCCAGCCUUAGUCACAGUUCAGUGACUCACCCUCCAGGAGCUGUUGGGAAGUACAGAUGUUGAGGCGUGUCCUUUUCUUGCAGGCCGGGACACCGUGCUUCUCCUAUAAGGCAGAAACUGACUUGGCAUUUGAACCAGUUUAAGGCACGAGGAGGAAGUGUUGACACAAAGCAGAUCACAUAUUAGAGACCAUCCCAAGGUCCCUUGUGACCCUUGCAUGUGCUUGUCAUUUUCAAGUUGAGUAGGGUGGUGGGCAGGUUUUUGACCUUGAGUAUGAACUCUGACAUUCUAUCUCUGCCCCACUGUUACUGGGUAUGUGGCUGGCUGGGCAGGAUACUCACUGCCCGCUCUGAAGCUUGACCUCUUCCUUGGCAUAGGGUUUAAAUGAGAUAAUGAUAAGGAGAGGUCUGGUGCCUCACAAAUAUCCAAUAAUUAGACAAAUGGGAUAUAUAUAUAUAUAUAUAUAUAUAUAUAUAUAUAUAUAUACACAUAUAUAUAUUUAAAUAUAAAUAUAAAUAAAUAUAUAUAAAUAAAUGUAGGCUUGGCUUUUGUCAUCAGCUGUCACCAGGACAGAGUUCUUUCUUGGGCUUUCCACCAUCUCUGAUAUCUUCUUCUUUUUCUUUCCUCCUAAGUCCACCCGCAAAUAUGAAACACGUAGACACAAACUCCCUACAGAAAUGCUUGUGAGGGUUGUUAACUCAGCCAUUUUCCAUUAGCAAAAUUAAAUAGUCCAGAGACAUCUGGGAUGCAUGCUUCGGGAGUCUGCUCUGUGCUGGCGCUUUAUUUUCAAGCACGAUGUCCUUGAAAAAAAAAAAAAGGAGGGCUCCUGAGCCUGCUGGGACUUUCUCUGCCCCCUCUCUCAUUUUUGCUCCCGAAAAGCACAGCCGAGGAACACUUGGGUGGGCUGGUAAUGAAAAUAUAACCCUGGCUGGGGACAACUUUCUCUCUGCCAGCUCUCAGGCCUGUGCAAGGAGCCCUGAAUCCCUAGGGCAGGGAUCUGGUCUGGGAGUGGCUCCUGGAACCUUAGUGUGCCAUGGGGGAGGAGCAUCUAGGCUGCACUGGACACCCCGCUGAGAAGGGGUCAUUCGGGUGAAGCCUUUUUCCAUUAGAGGCUUGUAGACAUUUACCCUUGGGUCUCUGCUCUAGCGUUCUCCAUGCCCAGGCAGAUCUGAAGGGCUACAACAGCAUGUGUCAGCUGAGAUAUGACUCAGCUAACAGAGUGGGCCUCCUGGGGCUCUGGAUGAUGCAAAUCCGCCUGGCGAUUCUGCCCUGUGCUCGUGGGAGAGGAGAUGGGAAAACAGGAAAGAUGCUGUCGUCUGAUGAAACCAUUGACCCUCAUCAGCCUCGUGCCUCAACCCUCAGAGGGGCUGCUUCAAGGUUAGCUCUCACAAAUGCACGGGGCUUUUGAGGUCAUCUCCGGUGAGACUUUACAGACCUGGAGUCUGAGGCGCAGCUAGACGAAGCGACGUGCGGAGUGACUGGUUCUUUAGGUGCAAGUUCACCCGCAGCUGUGUGGAAGGGUGGGGAGCACCCAUGCUGUGCCAGGCUCACCCCUGCUUUAUGGUGUCUCAUCAAUCCAGUGGUAAAGGAGAAGUGAACAGCCCUGGGUGCUGUCGGCGUGUUCAUGAAAGGACCAAAAGGAACACCCAUUGUGUAAGCCGAGGUUCGUGGUAACUUCUCCAUGACACUACAGAGUGCUUUCUGUGUUGGACAUAAAGAAUAGCUAACACUUUUUCAAUCUGGUCACGCAGCUUCCUAAGUUUUUGAUAAAGAAGACUUGAGAGGGAAGACUUCUGAGUAAGCCCUGGGAAAAACAGAUCUUCCUGUGUGACAGGGUUUUUGUAAGGCGGAGCUCAGCCACUGACUAGCCAAGACACUCUGAGAGUUCACGUAGCCUCUCUAUGCCUCAGUUUCUUCCGUGGUAAUUUCAGGGUAGCAGAAAUCUCCAUAUCCAAGAUUGCUUUGCAAGUAAAUGAAUUAAGAGAUGAAAUCAUUUAUGAAAGCGCCCAGAAGACAACAAGCAACAUCAUUAUGUUGAGACCAUUAUACUAAUAGAAUAAAAUGAUGAACUAAACAAGGCCUUUCAAAAGGUUUCAUUUACCCAUAGACCCUGCAGACGCCAGACAAAGAAUACAGUGAAGUGAAUGAAAAUAUUCACUCUGUUUAAGACCUUCAGAUUCUGGUAAAGGAAAUACACUAAGAAACAAUCAAUAAUGAUAAAAUCAGUAAAGAAGAUGGAUUCAAGGUUAAUCAUGGUGAUCGUUAAACUUCUGUGUCUGCUUGGCAGGGUCACUGGGUGCCCAGUUGUUUGGUGACCUUACUGUGAAGUUCCCUAAGAGAAUAUGUUGGGAGGAGAUUAGCGUUUGCAUUGAUGGACGGGAGAAGCAGUUUGCUUUUUAACUCAUGGAACCAAAUGAAACCUGAACAGAAUAAAAAGAGAAAAUUCCUCUUGCCUCACUGCCCUGGAAACUGGACACAGGCUUUCCCCUUGCCUUCCAAUCUCAAGAUGAGAAACUGGCUUUUUCUCAGCAUCUUGCCAAAGUCUCAUGUCAGUGACUUGAAUCCCUCGGCCCUCCCCUUAGAAGACAACACAACAGAAUCUGGUUGCCUGGUGAGACAGCAGGUCAAACUAAGGGGUCAACCAGGAGUCAUAUAGAUAGCUCAUUCAGAACACUAGACUCUGAAGGGGAAAGACAGUGUUGGAUACAGGAGGGAGCUGUGACCUCGGGGGAAGGGUGAGAUGUUUUUAAGGCUAGAUGGAAAGGGGAAGUACAGGAAAGGGAGCAUGAAAAGACGAGCAUGGUUGUCAGUGGCAUCUUAAGGUACCCAUGGCAUUGGAAGCCUGGAUCCUUGAUCGGGUUUGUCUGAGACCAGAGGGACCAUGUGACUAGUCUUUUUCUGACCAGGAGGAAAGGCAACAAGGAUAGGAAGGCCCCCAGGUGAUUGAUGGAGACGGUAUCAGAGCAUUGGGAAAUUCCUACUAGACAGCUUCUUGCUCCUCUGAGCAGUGGAUGCCAGGUUAUCUGCUAAUGUGAGGGCCACGGAGUUCAAGCAUGAGAGGCGUGAACAGAAUAUAGGGUAUAGGGAUGUGGGGGAGGGGUCAUGGUGCCCUUGGGGGAAAGGAGGAAGGACUACACUGAAGGGUGGAGGCUUGGACAAUGUCAUGCAUAUGGUCAUGGCUUCCCCAGGAAGAGACUUAGGUGAUGAUAUGAUAUGACUUUUCCUCUCUCCCAGCUUCCUAGCCUGUCACAUAUGAGCAAACUGAGGGCCAGAGAGGACUGUGGUUUCAGAAGCAUGAAGCUGUCAACCAACAGGAAAGCCUGCCACAAAUCUAUCUGGGUUGCCCGGCUCUUGGAUUCUUGGCUAUAAGUUGUGAUGUAUUGUUUAUGAUCUAAUAAAGCCACUGGAGAUGAGUUUGCAAAGCCAGCCACACUAGUUAGCUAUAGAAACUACUUGGUGGAGGCACAUACCUUUCAUCCCAGGGCUCAGGAUUAAGAGGCAGACGAAUCUCUAAGGUUCAAGGCCACCCAGGGCUACAUGAGAUUGAAUCAGUCUAAAAGGGUAACAGAGCUCAUGACUUUAAUCCUAUCAUUAGAGAGGUAUAAAAGAUAGGAGCAGAAUCUACAGUAAUCAGUCUCAGGACUCUCUAACCACGCUGAGGAGAGGCAGCAGGAUCAGCCCUUUCAGCCUGAGGUAGAUGUAAGAGGUAGUGGCUUGGCUGCUUUGCUUUUCUGAUCUUUGGUGGCUUUAUUAGAUCAUAAACAAGGUAUUAUCACAGCUAUAGGCCAUAGAGUGUGAGCAUGGGGCAUUUCUUUGAAAGGGAAAUUGAUGUCAUGACCAGAAAAGCAGAGGACAAUAUUGGAAAGUCAAAUUAAAAUAUCAAAGUACUCAGAUGCCCACUUUAUAGGAGAAUCAAGCUUGUUGAGACAUUGAGAUUUUUGGACUCCUUUCAGGCAAGGACUUCCAAAUGCUGUCCUGGACUCACAGGACACCUGGGGUGCUGGGGCAAACUGACCAAGCAGACUCCAAAAGUCGUGAAUAACCCUGAAAGCCAGCAGCUCUGGGCCCCUCCAUAUCCACCAGGGGUGGUAUCUGACUCACUGUUAGGAGGCUACGAUUUUUGUGGCUUUUGUAUUACUUCAUCUCUAAGAUUCCAAGGGGGGGGGGCUACAAAACCAGUAAUGACAAUUUGCUCUUUAACUCCAUCAUCGUAGUGUAGGGACAGUUAAUGGAUAGUGUAUUUAUCCAUUCAGCUGCCAUAGCAAAAAUACCACAGACUUAGUGGCUUAUAAACAAAAAUUUAAGAGGCUUCCCAUUCUAAAACCAAGAUGUUAGCUGCCCAGUAAGGCAGGCACCUUAAAGUACACCUUCAAAGUGUCUUCCUUCCUCUUGCUUUUCCUGCUAAAACAACUGAGUAUAUGCUCAGGGACAUAAAUAUCCCAAUCUGCUAUUUUUAACCUUUUCAAUGCAUGGCCUUGAGUUUACACACUCUCCAAAGACUCUACUCUUUCCUUCUCAAACUGUGACCAGAAGCUGAGGGUGACCAGGAAUGUGACCUUAACUGAGUAUGCUCAGGGAUGUGCCCAGGUCUGAAAUGGUUCCCCAAAGAAUUUGCAUAGGCUUUCUAAAUAGAAUCCCCAUGACUCCCUUGUUUGAGGACUUCGUUUUGGAAAUGACUCUUGAGCCCUCCUUCGUUCAGGUAAUGCAUCUUUCUCCAGUUGGUUCUUUUGUUUCUUUGUUUUGUUUUGCUUUUUUGGCCAUUGGCUUUGUUCUCCCCUAGAUGUGAGCAUAUAGCCUUAGGUCACAAAGGCUACUAGAAUAAUUAUCUAUUGAGGAUCCCCACCCUCUUUCUGGUUCACAGAUGAAGCAAUCUUUCUCUAAAAAGUUAAUUAAUUUUCAUUGUUUGAGAAUUUUAAUUAAAUCAGCAUUUAGUCACCAACCAAUAAGAGAAACAUGUGUCCACAGCAUACAGAAGGACGUCCCCCAUCAACAGCCUUUUUCUGGGGCACUAAUUCUGUUGCAUUCACGUAACCUCUAUCCACAUGGCCUUAUUCUUUCCCAGUGACCACACCUUUUAAUACAAUCACCCUGGGGGCUAGGUGUCAACAUUCAGUUUUAUGGACAUACAGACUCUAGGAAAGAGCAAAGAACAAACGAGGGUAUCCGUGUGUAAUGCAUCCUCUCUGUGCAGAGGUUUCUCAUUGCUUUAGGGAAAGGACAAGAGUCACUUUCCUACACUGGUGGUAUACAGAAGCCAAGGGCAAAUACCGGGUCAGGUUCUAGAGUAAAUACUCUGGACAAAGCCAUCGGACUGUGUUGUAAAAUGUUGCAGAAUUUGGUGAUGUAGGCAGUUUGAAGUGGGGACAGAUCAGUGCUCUAGGUAGCUGGGCAGAUGAAGUUAAAUACCAGCAGGUUCCAGCAGGCACAAGACAAUGGUUCAAUUUAUCAGCAACAGACUUUGCCUGAGGCUGGGCUUCUAUGUAUGCUUGAAAGUAUGCUGCUGAGGCAAGCAGAGCACACACAAAAAAGGGUAGGAACAGAAUGGACAUAUGGUAGAUUCUUGUAAAAACGAAAUAAGGCUGUUAGACAAAUUAUCUUCUUGCAUAACAAUUCCCCUUUCCUCUUCUCCCACCCCCUAGACAUAAAGUUAAUGUUACGUUUCCAUUCCUACAGAGAAACUUACUGGCUAAGUCUCACUAACAAAAUAAGUCUAGAAAGAAAACAUAUAGGACUAGAAAGAAUCUUUGGGAUUACCUGCAUUAACAUCUCAAUUUAUAGGAGAAAACUACAAGACCCGGUGACAGAGGUACCCCGCUCUCCUCUUUGACUGAGAAGUAGUUCUGAGAAAACAUCUGUAUUCUCAUCAGUACAUUAUCUCUUGGGGCAGGUUCUUGCUGUUUCUUUCUAGGGAAGGAUGGUAUGAAACAGAGCCUAUCUAAUGGACAAGGAAUCAUAACUGAGUCCCAAUCCCAACUGUUCUCACUGUGUAGAUCCUGGACAACUCACUACUUGGAAAACGUGUAAUAUUUAGGGUGGUUAUAAGGAUGCAAUCAGUUCAGGUUAAAAACAAUGCUCCAUUAAAAUAACUUGCUCAAGAAAUUUCAAUUAUGAUGGUACCGACCAAAAAAAUUUAAACAGAUAAUUAAGGAAUGGAGUGGAGAAUAUGUCCAAAAAAAGAAUACAUCACAAACAAGUUGGACUCAUUGAAGGUAUGCAAGAAAAGCCAGCUCAAUAUCAAGAAAGAUCACGGCCCAUUAUAGCAACAGAUUAGCGGGCAAGAAAGAUUGUAUCAGUAGAUGUUAUUAUAAUCAGCAUUUUGUAAAUGAGGUACUCUCUUAAAAUAUUUCUUUCCUUGGGCCUGGCACAUAGUAAGUGGUCAAGUGGUAGUAGCUGUUAGUAACCAGGCACUAUGACCGGUCUGCACCGGUAGGCUACUCAAAGACUGAAGGUAGAGGUUACCGCUUGGACUGUUUGCUAGGCUGGAUUUCCAAACAAAGCUGAUCAAUUGGACAGUGUGGAGGAAAUAAAUGUUCUAAUGUUCUGACUUUAUAUGUUCAUCCCACCUCAUUUCUCAGGCUCAAUAUUGUUUUUAACUUUGUUAAGACAAUAGUUCUGCAUCUAUGAAAUGGGACUGAGGCUUACGAGGAGCUGGCAAAGCAGCCAUUGUGCCAGCUCUGGGCCAAUUUUCCACACAGCAAUUAUUUAAAUGUGUUCAGGUCCCCUGGUAGGAACCUCCGUUUUGUUUCACUUUGUCCAGGUGCCAGCAGGAAUGCCUCCAUGGCAGAUCUCUGGUUCCGCAGAGAUCUAUGGAUCUCUGGUCCAUAGUAACUCUAGUCGUGAUCCAAUACCCUGGAAUUAUUAUGAAAGGCAAGCCCAAGGGGAAAGGAAUUCAUGGCCACUUUGCAGAGAGACUCUUGUAGGAAAGAGGAAAUGGGGGCUCUCUUGAGCAUGGGCAUCAUGACACUGGCCAGGUAAGACUUCUCUUUGGGCUAGUGUGGUAGAAAAGACUUAGGGAUCCCUCCCCACGUCCCCUCUGCAAACAUAUACCCUCAGCAUGUUCUAAAGGAUUUUUAUUUGCUAUUCAUGUUUUGUUUGAUAUGACUUCAAGUUCUUACACAAGCAGCAUGAAUUGUCCACAACAUCUCCUUAUUUUGUUCUGUAGAGAUAAACCCAACUUUCCCCCUUCCUGGGACAUUACAGCAUAACCCACAUGACAAUUUAGUAAAGCCCAGUUACAAUCACGUCUCAUCCAGCUACCUCCAAGGUGGAAGAGCUCCUUGGGACUUCGCAGUUAUAACGUCCACGUGUUUUUCUCUUCUUUUUAAAUAUAACAUUCCGGUCCUGUACAGAGGCACCAAUUAUGUUUAUUUUCACUGAGAUAGCUCAUGCCUGUAAUUUCAAUCAAGU
rnacentral:lncRNA from 1 species